rnacentral:tRNA from 1 species
GAUAAGGUGACUGAAUGGUUAGGUAACAGACUGCAAAUCUGUUUUAUAUGGGUUCGAAUCCCAUCCUUGUCUC